CAGCCCCCACGUUUGCAGCGGUUUAUCUCCCCACCAGCUCGCAGAUGCGAUUCCCACCGCCGACCGCCCGGAUCCCGCCAGGCGUCCUCCGCCCGCGCGAUUCCCGGCGCCGCCGGGGCCCGCGCUGCCCGGCGAGCUGCAGCUCCUGCUCCUGCCGGCCCCCGCGAUUCCCUGCUCGCCGAGUCCCGCCUGGCGACGCCGGCCCGCGCGAUUCACGGUGCCGCCGGCGCCCGCGCCGCCCGGCGAGCUGCAGCUCCUGCUCCCGCCCGCGCGACUGUGCUGGCUGGGCCUGUUCAACGUUAGUAAAAAAACGGCAUCUCUUUCUCCUCUGUCCUCUCUCCACGCCUUCUCUCCUCGCUCUCGGUUCCUUUGCCAGCGGCGACGCGGAGGCGAGUGGCGCCGCCCUUGCAAGUCUUCGUCGGGCGCUUCGUCGGCCGACAAGGGUGCGUCCGCCCUUUCCCUUCCCUUCCGUUCCUGCUGUGUGCGAAAUCGAACAUUCAGACCCCUAUCGUAUGCAAUUUGUAUUCGGAUCUGACCAUGUAUUUUACCUAUACUGAGUCCGCCCCUGAUCUUUAGCGAGAGGAGAAUCGAUUACCCGAGGUGCAAUUGCAGUUCAUUUUCCAAGAUUUCCAGCGGUUCUGCUGGAACCCUCAUGCCCCAGGUCAAGCUCGCCACCUCUUCGACAUGAGGCUCAACAAGGUGGAAGUGAACCUUAGAAAGCUGCUGGAGGCGGCUCCUCGGCAGCAGAAUGUCGAAGACCCAUCGACAUGUAGUACCUAAUUUCCGCUGGUUAAUUCAGAGCACGCUUAAUGUACUCAUGGGUGGGUACAUGUUCCUCGAGGUCGGGUACGACAGGCCUGUGAAGCAGUAGUGCAGGACAGUUCAUGUCAGCUCACUUUGCUGCGGUCGCAGCAGGCACAUCUCCAAGGGAUGGAACCUGGCAGUUCAACUGCUGCACCAGGAUCAGCGCCAGCCCGUCCAAGGGAGCUCAUCGGCCAUGCCUGUAGUACGUUUGACAAAAUGCCCAGGAGGGAGUGCUGUGAUAUUUUGACAGAAGAUUUUGUAGUAUCGUUUCUUUCAAGCAUGCUCUUUAUUUCCCUUAACCAGUUGAUUGUUCCUUAGACACAGCAUUUUUUUUUGAAGGUAUUUAGAUUAAGUAAUGCUUAACCUAUUCAAUCGACUUAAGCUGCCACAUGUUUUGUAUUCUAGAAUUCCUUUUGUCAGUAUAAAAAUUGAUAUAGUGAUGGCUAAUGAUGGAGGAUUUCUUCACUAGUCAACACAUAAUAAUGGGCUAGUACAGAUAAUAAGGAUGAUUUUUAUAUUUAAGAAUUGAGGAUGUCAUCAGCUAGGACUAUCACUAUCUUAGAAUAAUGGGUAGAAACAAAGCACUUCCUAUAUGUUGAAUUUCAGCAUAUACGGUUAUGAUGAUUGAUGAGUUCUCUAGAUUGGUGCUCACUUUCUGAACAAUCCACCAUAGCCUAUUUUUCAGAUAGUUGUGGUGACCACAUUUCUAAUUAAUUCACAGUAGUUAUCUUUUUUUUUCAAAUCGCUGCGGCAACUGAUAUUUCUAAUUAAUUCAUGUAACCUAUUUUUCAGUUUGUUGUGGCAACUUCAUUUUUCAGUAAAGAUCAAGACUGCCAUUUUUGUUGGCUUCACACAAGAAGAUAAUGUUAUAUUGAGUACUACUGCAUCUGCACCUACAUGUCUAAUUUUUUGCACCUAUUCUAUCAGUAUUCAGGUCGAUACAUAUAUGCAAACAAUUUUAUUCCUAGAGAUUCGGUUGCCAUAGUAUUUUUGUUUUAUUUGUUCUUCCCAUUUUCCUGUUUCAUUAUUAUAAUUACGGUUUCUUGCAGGCUCGAUAGCUAUGUAUAAUGGCAUGGUGCUACAUAUAGUCUCGACUUUCUUCCUUCUUAACUAUCUUGUUAGCUGACUAUUUAUUGACAAUAAGGGAACAAGAAUUCUAUACUGGUUGUGUUCAGACCCUCCUAGUAAGAAUAAAAAUAGUUCGUGUAAUUUCUUUACUCCUUGCCCAUUUCACCUUCUGAACGAUAUUGUUUUGAAGCUUCUGUCUUGUGGCACUAGACCUAGUAAGAAAUAAAAAUAGCAUGCAUACUUUUUUUUUGUUACUCCUUGCUCAUUUCACCUUCUCUUCAGUGUGUUCUGAAUAUUCUGUUUAUAGCACUUUUGAUUCUAGACUAUCAUUUUGUGUGUGUUUUUGUUGUUUAUGGAUGUAAUGUUUUUUAUUUAGCGAUUCGGAUGGAGGGAAAGGCCAGAUCAGGCCAGAAGGUGCAUGGGCAGCACUACUUCUUGCCAGGAUUGUCUUUUGAAUCUGCAAUAGGAGCCAAGCCAAAGACACAUAUCUGUGUGUUCAUUUGUGGCUAGAUAUGAUCAAUUUUAAAUAGGUUUCAUGUAUUCCCUUGUGAUUUGGGCAUGUUGUUUAUCGAUGUCAACAAAACCUAAUGCAGAGGUGGUUGUAUCACAUCAGUUGCUUAAUUUCCAAGUAAAUGUAGCCCGGAUUUAUAUGUGUGAAUGCUACUGAUUUCCCAGAGCAAUACUACAUGCUAAUGCAUUUUCAGUUUGUCUUCAGCUAAUGCUUCAGCGUAAUGAUGCUUUCCACUGAGCUGAUCUUUGUGUUGUAUUUCAGGUCAAGUAUAUGUUCUUUUUUUGUCAGUUUCUGCUGCAUUUUAGAUGAAGUAUCAGCAAUAGUUGAAGGCCAUAUGAAGUAGAUCGACUAGCUGACGGCGACACGGAUCAGCAGAACUAGAGGACUACGCUCGACAUCAACAGCUGAUCUAGAUCUGUCCAGCUGAUCUAGAUCUGUCCAAGGACAACCAAAUGGGCCUUUGCAGGGACAAGGAGCUCUGUCUGUAUCUUCUAUUUUUUUUAUGACCACGGCUGUGGCUGGCGUAAAACUAUUGUAUUCAAAUUGGAAAUAUCUAUUAGAAUGCCCACGAAUAAGAUAAACCCGUUGUAAGUAUUUACAUUUCCAAUUACUAAUUUUUGCCGGCCAAAA